AGGGGGCUUAGUGGUGGGGUGACUGCGUACCUUUUGUAUAAUGGGUCAGCGACUUAUAUUCUGUAGCAAGGUUAACCGAAUAGGGGAGCCGGAGGGAAACCGAGUCUUAAUUGGGCGUUAAGUUGCAGGGUAUAGACCCGAAACCCGGUGAUCUAGCCAUGGGCAGGUUGAAGGUUGGGUAACACUAACUGGAGGACCGAACCGACUAAUGUUGAAAAAUUAGCGGAUGACCUGUGGCUGGGGGUGAAAGGCCAAUCAAACCGGGAGAUAGCUGGUUCUCCCCGAAAGCUAUUUAGGUAGCGCCUCGUGAAUUCAUCUCCGGGGGUAGAGCACUGUUUCGGCUAGGGGGCCAUCCCGGCUUACCAACCCGAUGCAAACUGCGAAUACCGGAGAAUGUUAUCACGGGAGACACACGGCGGGUGCUAACGUCCGUCGUGAAGAGGGAAACAACCCAGACCGCCAGCUAAGGUCCCAAAGUCAUGGUUAAGUGGGAAACGAUGUGGGAAGGCCCAGACAGCCAGGAUGUUGGCUUAGAAGCAGCCAUCAUUUAAAGAAAGCGUAAUAGCUCACUGGUCGAGUCGGCCUGCGCGGAAGAUGUAACGGGGCUAAACCAUGCACCGAAGCUGCGGCAGCGACGCUGAUGCGUUGUUGGGUAGGGGAGCGUUCUGUAAGCCUGCGAAGGUGGCCUGUGAGGGUUGCUGGAGGUAUCAGAAGUGCGAAUGCUGACAUAAGUAACGAUAAAGCGGGUGAAAAGCCCGCUCGCCGGAAGACCAAGGGUUCCUGUCCAACGUUAAUCGGGGCAGGGUGAGUCGACCCCUAAGGCGAGGCCGAAAGGCGUAGUCGAUGGGAAACGGGUUAAUAUUCCCGUACUUGGUGUUACUGCGAAGGGGGGACGGAGAAGGCUAUGUUGGCCGGGCGACGGUUGUCCCGGUUUAAGCGUGUAGGUGUGUGUUCCAGGUAAAUCCGGUUCACUUUAACACUGAGGCGUGACGACGAGGCACUACGGUGCUGAAGCAACAAAUGCCCUGCUUCCAGGAAAAGCCUCUAAGCAUCAGGUAACAUCAAAUCGUACCCCAAACCGACACAGGUGGUCAGGUAGAGAAUACCAAGGCGCUUGAGAGAACUCGGGUGAAGGAACUAGGCAAAAUGGUGCCGUAACUUCGGGAGAAGGCACGCUGACACGUAGGUGAAGUGAUUUACUCAUGGAGCUGAAGUCAGUCGAAGAUACCAGCUGGCUGCAACUGUUUAUUAAAAACACAGCACUGUGCAAACACGAAAGUGGACGUAUACGGUGUGACGCCUGCCCGGUGCCGGAAGGUUAAUUGAUGGGGUCAGCGCAAGCGAAGCUCCUGAUCGAAGCCCCGGUAAACGGCGGCCGUAACUAUAACGGUCCUAAGGUAGCGAAAUUCCUUGUCGGGUAAGUUCCGACCUGCACGAAUGGCGUAAUGAUGGCCAGGCUGUCUCCACCCGAGACUCAGUGAAAUUGAACUCGCUGUGAAGAUGCAGUGUACCCGCGGCAAGACGGAAAGACCCCGUGAACCUUUACUAUAGCUUGACACUGAACAUUGAGCCUUGAUGUGUAGGAUAGGUGGGAGGCUUUGAAGUGUGGACGCCAGUCUGCAUGGAGCCGACCUUGAAAUACCACCCUUUAAUGUUUGAUGUUCUAACGUGGACCCGUGAUCCGGGUUGCGGACAGUGUCUGGUGGGUAGUUUGACUGGGGCGGUCUCCUCCUAAAGAGUAACGGAGGAGCACGAAGGUUGGCUAAUCCUGGUCGGACAUCAGGAGGUUAGUGCAAUGGCAUAAGCCAGCUUGACUGCGAGCGUGACGGCGCGAGCAGGUGCGAAAGCAGGUCAUAGUGAUCCGGUGGUUCUGAAUGGAAGGGCCAUCGCUCAACGGAUAAAAGGUACUCCGGGGAUAACAGGCUGAUACCGCCCAAGAGUUCAUAUCGACGGCGGUGUUUGGCACCUCGAUGUCGGCUCAUCACAUCCUGGGGCUGAAGUAGGUCCCAAGGGUAUGGCUGUUCGCCAUUUAAAGUGGUACGCGAGCUGGGUUUAGAACGUCGUGAGACAGUUCGGUCCCUAUCUGCCGUGGGCGCUGGAGAACUGAGGGGGGCUGCUCCUAGUACGAGAGGACCGGAGUGGACGCAUCACUGGUGUUCGGGUUGUCAUGCCAAUGGCACUGCCCGGUAGCUAAAUGCGGAAGAGAUAAGUGCUGAAAGCAUCUAAGCACGAAACUUGCCCCGA
rnacentral:rRNA from 1 species